UAGGGAAUCUUCCGCAAUGGACGAAAGUCUGACGGAGCAACGCCGCGUGAGUGAAGAAGGAUUUCGGUUCGUAAAACUCUGUUGUUAGGGAAGAAAAAAUGUAUAGUAACUAUAUACAAAAGAGACGGUACCUAACCAGAAAGCCACGGCUAACUACGUGCCAGCAGCCGCGGUAAUACGUAGGUGGCAAGCGUUGUCCGGAAUUAUUGGGCGUAAAGCGCGCGCAGGUGGUUUAGAAAGUCUGAUGUGAAAGCCCACGGCUCAACCGUGGAGGGUCAUUGGAAACUAAUAAACUUGAGUGCAGGAGAGAAAGGUGGAAUUCCUAGUGUAGCGGUGAAAUGCGUAGAGAUUAGGAGGAACACCGGUGGCGAAGGCGGCUUUUUGGCCUGCAACUGACACUGAGGCGCGAAAGCGUGGGGGGCAAACAGG
rnacentral:rRNA from 1 species